CCUACGGGUGGCAGCAGUAGGGAAUCUUUCACAAUGGGCGAAAGCCUGAUGGAGCAACGCCGCGUGCAGGAUGAAGGCCUUCGGGUUGUAAACUGCUUUUAUAAGCGAGAAAUAUGAUGGUAACUUAUGAAUAAGGAUCGGCUAACUACGUGCCAGCAGCCGCGGUCAUACGUAGGAUCCGAGCAUUAUCCGGAGUGACUGGGUGUAAAGAGUUGCGUAGGUGGCAUAAUAAGUAGCUAGUGAAAUCUGGUGGCUCAACCAUUCAGACUAUUAGCUAAACUGUUAAGCUCGAGACCGUUAGGGGUAACUGGAAUUUCUGGUGUAGGAGUGAAAUCCGUAGAUAUUAGAAGGAACACCAAUAGCGUAGGCAGGUUGCUGGGACGGUUCUGACACUAAGGCACGAAAGCGUAGGGAGCAAACGGGAUUAGAUAACCCUGUAGUC
rnacentral:rRNA from 1 species